UACGUAGGGUGCGAGCGUUGUCCGGAAUUAUUGGGCGUAAAGGGCUCGUAGGCGGUCUGUCGCGUCGGGCGUGAAAACUCAGGGCUUAACCCUGAGCCUGCUUCCGAUACGGGCAGACUAGAGGUAUGCAGGGGAGAACGGAAUUCCUGGUGUAGCGGUGGAAUGCGUAGAGAUCGGGAGGAAGGCCGGUGGCGAAGGCGGCUCUCUGGAACGUCCCUGACGCUGAGGCGCGAAAGCGUGGGGAGCAAACAGG
rnacentral:rRNA from 1 species